rnacentral:misc_RNA from 1 species
CUAACCCCGCAAAUACAAUACAUACUGUGCAGUAUGUACUAACGGCGGUAGCAAUAGUCCUUCUCUGCCGCUACCUAUGCACUCACCUGCCACCGGAUAAACUCGUUGGGGUUUAGUGAAGAUGAGUUCUAUCACCGAGCUAACGAAACUUCCACCAUCCAUGCAACCCCCUGUAUGUUACAGCGUCGUCCUUGUCUCACCCUGAAGGCUAUGGUCCCCGUGUUGGAGCACCUUUCCCGUUAUCCGAAGUCUCCGUGCAUAGAUACAAAGAACAAUAGGUACCACCAGUAUCCGUUGUAAACGUUCUAUGCUCGUUAAGGGACAGGAAAUUGGUUCUUAUUCAUUGAAGAUGGAGCCCAGACUUCAGGGUAUCAGAACUCUCCUUCGUACAGAACUUGCCUUCAUCGAGAACUCGCCUUCGUACAGAACUCGCCCUCGUACCAUCGUUCCAGCGCACUUCAUCUCAGGGAUGGCACCACAGUGCACUCUAUUGUAUCGGUAAGGAGCACAUAGCAACAUUAGUUUGUUUGGAAACAAGCGGGUGGCUCGAAUGGUCGCCAAUACAACUGUUCAUCUGAAGUUGACAGCACUGAGUCAAGUUAAUGAUCCCUUUCUGGUCAAGUUGUUCAAUCUCAGAUAGCUGCCUCAGAGUCCCAUUCAUCAUAUUGAUAUGAUCAAGCAGAUACAACUCCUGGAAUCAAGUUUCGGAGACUACAAGUCUUAGUGGAUAGUGAGUAAUGCCAGCUACUGUAACUCGUUUCGGUCCUCAUGAGAAAACAGUACUGAACUCUUCCGACAGACGACUUAAAGACUGGAUUCCUUGAACUUGGACAAAAACAUUGUACAUACUGUACCGUA